UACGGGGGGGGCAAGCGUUGUUCGGAAUUACUGGGCGUAAAGGGCUCGUAGGUGGCCAACUAAGUCAGACGUGAAAUCCCUCGGCUUAACCGGGGAACUGCGUCUGAUACUGGAUGGCUUGAGUUUGGGAGAGGGAUGCGGAAUUCCAGGUGUAGCGGUGAAAUGCGUAGAUAUCUGGAGGAACACCGGUGGCGAAGGCGGCAUCCUGGACCAACACUGACACUGAGGCGCGAAAGCUAGGGGAGCAGACAGG
rnacentral:rRNA from 1 species